GUUUCUUCUCCUAUUUCUUGGACGUUUCCUCCCUAAACUUGGCGGUGCAAUUUUGCACCGCCUUUUUUUUGCUCAGC
rnacentral:sRNA from 1 species